CGAUAAUGACUGUCACUGAACCGGGGUAAUACUAGUGGGUCAAGCGCUUGCCGACCUUGUUCUGCGUAAAGCGCGGGUAGGCGGGCGUACAUGUCAGCGUUGAAAACUCGUGGCGCAACCUCGAGACGUCGGUAGGAACCGUACGGCUAGAGUGCGGAAGAGGAGAGUGGAAUUCCCUGUGUAGCGGUGAAAUGCGCAGAUAUCGGGAAGAACACCCGUGGCGAAGGCGGCUCUCUGGGACGGUACUGACGCUGAGACGCGAAAGCGUGGGGAGCGAACAGGAUUAGAUACCCGGGUAGUC
rnacentral:rRNA from 1 species